rnacentral:rRNA from 1 species
UUAAAGUUGUUGCAGUUAAAAAGCUCGUAGUUGAACCUUGGGCUUGGCUGGUCGGUCCGCCUCACCGCGUGUACUGGUCCGGCCGAAUCUUUCCUUCUGGGGAAUCGCAUGCCCUUCACUGGGUGUGUCGAGGAUCCAGGACUUUUACUUUGAAAAAAUUAGAGUGUUCAAAGCAGGCCUAUGCUCGAAUACAUUAGCAUGGAAUAAUA